UUUCGUACAAGUAAGACGGUUAAAAUUUGAGUUUAGAAAUUUAAAGUUCAAGUUUAAGUUUAAAUAUUUAAGGAAAAAAUAUUGAUUCAAAUAAUUGAUAUGGAAGAGUACGCUAAAUUAACUGUUGAAGAAUUAUGUUCAAAAUUAGAAUCAGUUGUAACCGAAGAGACUAUCGCAGUUUUUAGAAAAGACUCGACAAUUGUUAUCGUUCAAAUAAUUUGUACAAGGUAUAUAAAUCAUUACUUUCUACUUAAUUGAACCAAGAGCGCAUUCUGUUGACUGAAGAUAUUUGAAGCUAACAGAUUUCUACGUUUUCCUGACGAUUGCGACUAUAGAGUCUUAACUUAUCGACAGGUAGCAGUCCACAGGACAAACUUUUAUCCUACGAUUUCAAGAGCGACAUUUAGUCUCAGGGAUGGUUCAAUUAAUUCAAUUUACACAUGCUCAUGCAAUUAAAAAAAUUACAACCACACAAGUGGAGGAAAAUUAAAAAUGUACAUCACCAAUCAGCUACUCAGCAAACUCACUGCAUUCUAUGAUAUGUGAAUAAAAAUUCAUAUUUAGUAGCUAUUAUAUCAAAUUAAAUUAAGUUAUAGAAAAAAACUUACAAUUAUUCUGGAUCAAUUUCAUGACUAAAAAUUUGGAUGUAGUACAAAAUUCACUGAUGCUCACUCAUAACUUUUACAACAUAAAUAAUAACUAACUAAACCACUGACUAAUUAAAUAUUUAAAAUUCAACUAAAUUAAAUAAAUUAAUGCGCUACAAGAAAACUCACACAUUAAACCACUAAUAAAAACAACACAGUUGUAAUCACUAAGCACUAUGCAGAAAAAAAAUACUUUUUACACUUAAAUAUUU